CAGAGUGUGAUUAUUCUCAGAGAUAGUAUCACCGUGUUAGCUCUGGUUACUCAUUUUCCACUGCAGAGCUCACGUUCAGGUUCCUGCACUGGUGGCUUGUCUGGAUCUAGCCCGCAUGAUGGGGCAGCCCCAAAAUCUUGGUUUAUAAUGUAGUUUCUGGGUGCAAACCACUGUGACCCAGAGCACAGGCUUGUGUGAGAGCAGGACUGAUGGGGGAGGGCUUCAGAAGAGAUGGAAGGACAUGAGAGAAUCUGCAAAUGCCUACCAAGGGGCACCUUGUGUGGCAAUGGGAGCUACCACUGAUAGACCUCACCCUGCAGCGGUGAAUGGAGAGCAGGAGGAGGCGAGGAGCAGCAACCAGGUUUUGCAGCUGGACACCUUGAGGGCAGUGCUGCCAGUUUGGGUUUCCUCCGUGUGUUUGAAGGCAGUGCUUCUGUGUGAGACACAGCAUUGCUGGAAGCCAAGGAGGUGUGAUGGAGGGCAGGGAGGGGCAGUGGACAGAGGGCUGGGCUGUCUCUGCCCACUGCCCAGCUCAGGAGGUCAGGGAGGGCUGUGCUAUCUUGGGAUUCCAGCAGCAUCUGGAAAUUCUCUGUUUGUCCAUCAGCACCUGCACUGUCACAGAGGCUGAACAGAGAGGCUCUGGACAGAGAGAAUCUGCAGGUGCUAAGGUUGGUGAUCCAGACUCUAUUGGUGGAUGCAUCCAGCACCAACCUGCCGACCAGUUUACUGACCUGGGCUUUGUGCAGGCACCAGGAGAGGCGAUGUUACCUGGCAGUCAGGUGCGUGGCUUCAUUGGGCAUCCAGAGGCGAGGUCUGCCGUGCUUCCUUUUAAUGCUUUUAGUGCCAUUCCUGGAACUGCAGCGUCUGGGGAAAAGCAUUCAGAAUUGCACAUCAUUAGCAUGCUGAAGAGGAGGAGGGAAGAGAAGAAGGUGGGGAAGAGUUUAAAAACAAAACCAGAAGAAGAGGAGGGAGUGGAACCUAAAGCCUGUUUCACGCAAAAUUAG
rnacentral:lncRNA from 1 species